AUUAAUUUUUUAAUACAAUGUUCGAGUUAUGAGGUGUAGGAUUCUAGAGAUAAAAUAGAAAAAAAAGGGGAAUUGGAAAAUGGAUUGAGAUUUUUAUCUCAAUUCCCCACUUACGGGAACCUUCUACACACACCAUUCCACUUUGUCCUCUUCUCCACGGGGAACUCCCUUUCUCUCAUUCCCAUUUUUCUUCAAAUCUCCAAUUGAAUCAAAGGCGGCCCCUCCCAUUUCUCAUCGGCGAAAUCGCCGUUCCAAUCGGUCGUCGGAGCUCCGCCGGCGCCAACCGUGCCUCGGCUCUCUUCUCUAUUUCUCCCUCAACUCUAUUCACAUCACAUUUUCCCCAAAUUAGGAACCCUUAAUUUGAGAAGAAGCAGCGGUGCUUCGUUCCAUCCCUCGCCUUCUUCUCCGGCGAAUUCACGCCACCGUGAAUGUCUCGCUGGAAUUCUACCAGCGGUUCGCGCCUCUCUCUGGUCACCGAACACCGUCGCCACCAGCAUUCGCCCCCCCUCUCUCUCGGCUUUCCCCACACGCCGCUCUUCCCGGCGCUCGCAGCACCACUGCCGGAAUCCAGUAGAGGCCGUUGCUGCUUCGCGAGACUUCGUCUGUUGCUGCUGUUCGGCGAGACCCUCAACCUAAGUUAAGUCCUUUCUCUUCUUUCUCAUUACUUGUGUUCUUAACUUGAUUGAAGCAUGUGGUGUGAAUAGGCUCAAUUGUGGUAUUUAUUUCACUGGAAUUGGUCUUUGGCUAUGGUAUUAAAGUUCUGACUUUUCCUUUGGGAGCAUUUAGCUCACUGCAAUGAGUCCCUACUUUUAUAUGUGAAUUCUGUGGAAGGACUUUGAUGGGUUUGCUACUGUUCCAUACUUGAUGUGAGGAUCCUAUGGGAAAUUCUAAGUUCUUGUGUUAUCUAAUUGUUCUAUAUGAUGCAAAAGGGUGGUGUUGGUGAUUACCUCACUCGGUGAAUCCUCCCAGUUUGCCCUCUUGCUGCCUCCACCUCGCGCCGCCGCUCCUCACCCCGUCGCACUUCUUGCCUUGUGAAAAUAUAAGGUAACACGGACAAGGAGGAGCGGGAAUCUAGGAUUUUGAUGUCAAGGCUCGUUGGACUUGAGAUUAGAGGAUCAGACCUGGCUCUUUUGUUGUACAGCUGCUCAGCCAGGUCACUAGUCAGUCUUUUGAGUUCGAGUAAUUCUUGGAUAUGUUAGUUGUGGCAUGUAUAGAAAGUGUAAUGUAGUUUGGACGUUUCAUUUACUUCGCUAUCCAAGUUGUAUAAAUAUAUAUAAACUUUUGGGAAACAAGUUUAUGGUCCAAUUUCAAAUGUUAUAUAGCAGUUUUUCCGUUUGCCAAGUAAA